UCCUUCUGUACCUUCUGUGGUACGUCCAACUAAGUCUAUUCUUCCUGCUGCUUUGCUUAUAGGAUAAUAUCUUUUCCCCGGUCGUACCUCAUAGCAUUUAUCUGCCACUGGCUUCUGUGCAGGAGAAAAAUUGUAUGAAAGCUGGAUGUGUUUUUGGUGUAAGCGCUG